GUGUCGCACGCAAUGCUGGUGAAUCUUCCACAAUGGACGAAAGUCUGAUGGAGCAACGCCGCGUGAGUGAAGAAGGUUUUCGAAUCCUAAAGCUCUGUUGUCAGGGACGAAUGUGGAGACAGAGAAUACAGGUUUCAAAUGACGGUACCUGACGAGGAAGCCACGGCUAAUUACGUGCCAGCAGCCGCGGUAAUACGUAGGUGGCGAGCGUUGUCCGGAAUUAUUGGGCGUAAAGGGAGCGCAGGUGGGCUGUCAAGUCUGUCUUAAAAGUGCGGGGCUUAACCCCGUGAUGGGAUAGAAACUGGCAGUCUUGAGUGCAGGAGAGGAAAGCGGAAUUCCUAGUGUAGCGGUGAAAUGCGUAGAUAUUAGGAGGAACACCAGUGGCGAAGGCGGCUUUCUGGACUGUAACUGACACUGAGGCUCGAAAGCCAGGGGAGCGAACGGGAUUAGAUACCCCCGUAGUCCUGCCCGUAAACGAUGGAUACUAGGUGUAGGAGGUAUCGACCCCUUCUGUGCCGGAGUUAACGCAAUAACUUCCCGCCCUUGGG
rnacentral:rRNA from 1 species